rnacentral:rRNA from 1 species
CCAGACUCCUACGGGAGGCAGCAGUGGGGAAUAUUGCACAAUGGGGGGAACCCUGAUGCAGCGACGCCGCGUGGGUGAAGAAGCGCCUCGGCGCGUAAAGCCCUGUCAGCAAGGAAGAAAAUGACGGUACCUGAAGAAGAAGCCCCGGCUAACUACGUGCCAGCAGCCGCGGUAAUACGUAGGGGGCAAGCGUUAUCCGGAUUUACUGGGUGUAAAGGGGGCGCAGGCGGCACGGCAAGCCUGAUGUGAAAGCCCGGGGCCCAACCCCGGGACUGCCCUUGGAACUGCAUGGCUGGAGUGCGGGAGGGGCAGGCGGAAUUCCUGGUGUAGCGGUGAAAUGCGUAGAUAUCAGGAGGAACACCGGCGGCGAAGGCGGCCUGCUGGACCGCGACUGACGUUGAGGCUCGAAAGCGUGGGGAGCAAACAGGAUUAGAUACCCUCGUA